UACGUAGGCAGCGAGCGUUGUUCGGAGUUACUGGGCGUAAAGCGUGCGUAGGCGGUUUUGUAAGUUUGGUGUGAAAUCUCCCGGCUUAACUGGGAGGGUGCGCCGAAAACUGGAAGGCUUGAGUAUGGGAGAGGUAAGCGGAAUUCCUGGUGUAGCGGUGAAAUGCGUAGAUAUCAGGAGGAACACCAAUUGCGAAGGCAGCUCGCUGGGACGUUACUGACGCUGAGACGCGAAAGCGUGGGGAGCGAACAGG
rnacentral:rRNA from 1 species